CUGCUGCCUCCCGUAGGAGUUUGGGCCGUGUCUCAGUUCCAAUGUGGGGGACCUUCCUCUCAGAACCCCUAUCCAUCGAUGCCUUGGUGGGCCGUUACCCCGCCAACAAGCUAAUGGAACGCAUCCCCAUCGAUGACCGAAAUUCUUUAAUAGUUCUACCAUGCGGAAGAACUAUGCCAUCGGGUAUUAAUCUUUCUUUCGAAAGGCUAUCCCCGAGUCAUCGGCAGGUUGGAUACGUGUUACUCACCCGUGCGCCGGUCGCCAU
rnacentral:rRNA from 1 species